UAUUGAAUAAGAAUAUGCCUUUUAUUUUCAUUCAGCAAACUUUUGGUCUUUUUCCUUUGGGGUAUUAUAAUCUGUGACUUUGUAAUGUGAAUUUUACCAGACACGAGUUAUUUUUCUGACAGAAUUUGUAGUUCUGGUGGGUCUAUUUAGGCAGCUGUCUUCUAUCAGCUGUAUACAAGUCUCUCUCUAUUUUGGGGGUUUGAUCGUAUAAUGCAGAAAUCUUACCAUAUUUCUCUGUAUCUAUUUAAAACAAAGAUAUCCAUUAGGAUUGAAAUUAUUUUUUUUGUGAAAAUGGCUAGCUUUGAUGGAAAUUGUCUUGGGUUUCUGUCAAUCACUGGCCCAUCUCUAUCAUCAUGUUUAAUCCUAUCUAAAUUUUUGUUUAUGGGUUAUCAAAUGUGAGAAAUUCUGGCAAAAAAGAGUUUAGAUCACUUUUUGUUCAUGUUGAGAAAGAUACGCUUCUUCCCCAUUCUAAAAGUAGGUUGUAGUACAAAAUUUGAAGCAGUUAGAUUGAAAUAGUUCUUUUUGUUGACUUGCAGUAAAACAGUGUAUGCUUAAAAUUUUCACAGAGAUUUAGCCUUUUGUCAAAAGAAAAAAAAAAAAAAAAAAAAAACACAGAAGAGGUUUAUUCUUGAUUUUAUGUCCAACUGAUUUUUAAUUACUUUCCUUCAAUUUAGCCUCAUCUGUUAAAAUAGCCUUUGACCUUUCCUUUCUUUCAAUUUGAGCUUUUCUUCCUGGACUGGUGGUUAACAGACAAAUAAACAUAUUUUCCACAAGAUUUAUAUUUCAUAAGUUGGCCAAUCUUGGUAGACGUCUAGGAGGCUUAUUAAUUGUAGAAAACCCUUCAGUAUCCUGUCAUAGUUACAAGAAAAGUCUAUCAUCUGAUUGAAGGAAAUUCAUGCAUCAUUGACAUUUAGUGCGUUUACUGGAGUAUUAUGCCAUAUGUUACCAUUUCUCCAACUAGCUCCUGCCCUGGGCAGGUUAAGUGGUAAAAGGUGGAGAUCCUCUUUUAAAGCUCAUAGCUGUGGAUUGGCUCAAGGCUGACCAGAGCAUUGACAAGGUUGCAUUGCGCCCAUCCUGUGUUGUUCAGUCAGAAGCUGGAAGAAAACUUCCAUUCAUUCUCGUUUUUAAUCUCCAGAUCCCAGCCAAACCAAACUACAAUCUGGUUUUUUAUUAUGCCUCUGACAGGCCUGUGAAUAAAGAUUCAUUAUUGAGCAAAUUUAUUGAUGGGACUGACGCAUUCCGUGAUUCAAGGUUCAAGCUCAUACCAAGCAUUGUGAAGGGCUAUUGGAUGGUUAAACGUGCGGUAGGAACAAAAGCCUGUCUGUUGGGUAAAGCUGUGACCUGCAGAUACCUGAGACAAGACAACUUUUUGGAGAUUGAUGUGGAUAUUGGUUCCUCAUCAGUUGCUAGAAGUGUUAUUGGUCUUGUCCUUGGAUAUGUCACAAGCUUAGUGGUUGAUCUUGCAAUUCUGAUAGAGGCAAAUGAGGAGACUGAACUUCCUGAGCAUCUUCUUGGGACUGUACGGUUAAGUUGUCUUGAACUUGACUCAGCUGUAGAAGCUUGAGGCGGUAUCAAAAGAAUUAUUGAUUCAGACAUUAUUGAUCUCCAUUCAAAGUGUAGUAAUACAUUCUUUACUCAUUUGCGUCCCCAUUCUCUCGCGCAACUGAGUUGGCUUAAAGUCAUUAUUGUACUGCUUAAUAGCUUUAUAUUGCUCUCAAUUGAAACUGUAAUGUAUUCUUCCAUGCUGAUUGCUUCAGCUUUUAUCAUAGAAAGUGUACCAAAUCCUAGCUGUUAAGAAUGAUUUGCAUAUCGGCCUGUGUA